UCCCUCUUAGCUCAGUUGGUAGAGCGCGUCACUAGUAUUCGGUUCUCUGAUCCAAUCUAUGACGAGGUCAGUCGUUCAAAUCGGCUAGCGGGAA